UACGUAGGGCGCAAGCGUUGUCCGGAAUUAUUGGGCGUAAAGAGCUCGUAGGCGGUUUGUCGCGUCUGUCGUGAAAGCUUGGGGCUUAACCCCAAGUCUGCGGUGGAUACGGGCAGACUAGAGGCAGGUAGGGGAGAACGGAAUUCCCGGUGUAGCGGUGAAAUGCGCAGAUAUCUGAAGGAACAUCAGUGGCGAAAGCGACUUCCUGGACCAAUACUGACGCUCAUGUGCGAAAGCGUGGGGAGCAAACAGG
rnacentral:rRNA from 1 species